UACGUAGGGCGCAAGCGUUGUCCGGAAUUAUUGGGCGUAAAGAGCUCGUAAGCGGUUUGUCGCGUCUGUCGUGAAAGCUUGGGGCUUAACCCCAAGUCUGCGGUGGAUACGGGCAGACUAGAGGCAGGUAGGGGAGAACGGAAUUCCCGGUGUAGCGGUGAAAUGCGCAGAUAUCGGGAGGAACACCGGUGGCGAAGGCGGUUCUCUGGGCCUGUACUGACGCUGAGGAGCGAAAGCGUGGGGAGCGAACAGG
rnacentral:rRNA from 1 species